rnacentral:misc_RNA from 1 species
GCAAACUUGGUCAUUUAGAGGAAGUAAAAGUCGUAACAAGGUUUCCGUAGGUGAACCUGCGGAAGGAUCAUUAAAAAAUUUCGAUUCCAUAUCCAUCUUUUGUGCAUUUAUUGAAAAGUAAUAAACUUUUGGGAGAGAUUUUUUAUAUUUCUCCCAAAGUUUUUUCUUUAAAUACUUUUUUUUUAAAUAUAAUUGUCUAAAGAAAUUUUUAUAAAUUUUAAAUAAAACAACUUUCAACAACGGAUCUCUUGGCUCUCGCAUCGAUGAAGAACGCAGC